CCUACGGGAGGCAGCAGUGGGGAAUUUUGGACAAUGGGGGAAACCCUGAUCCAGCCAUUCCGCGUGAGUGAAGAAGGCCUUCGGGUUGUAAAGCUCUUUCGGCAGGGAAGAAACGCUCUGGCUUAAUACGCCGGGGUAAUGACGGUACCUGAAGAAGAAGCACCGGCUAACUACGGCCCCG
rnacentral:rRNA from 1 species